rnacentral:rRNA from 1 species
UGGGGAAUCUUGGGCAAUGCGCGAAAGCGUGACCCAGCAAUGCCGCGUGCAUGAUGAAGGCCUUCGGGUUGUAAAAUGCUGUCACCCGGGACGAAAAAAAUGACGGUACCUGGAGAGGAAGACACGGCUAACUACGUGCCAGCGGCCGCGGUAAUACGUAGGUGUCAAGCGUUGUUCGGAUUUAUUGGGCGUAAAGGGUCCGCAGGGGGUUGGACAAGUCUGAUGUGAAAUCCCAGAGCUCAACCCUGGAACUGCAUUGGAAACUGUCUGACUAGAGUAUCGGAGAGGAGAUUGGAAUUCCAGGUGUAGCGAUAAAAUGCGUAGAUAUCUGGAAGAACACCGAAAGCGUAGGCAGAUCUCUGGACGAUUACUGACCCUCAGGGACGAAAGCAUGGGGAGCAAACA